rnacentral:rRNA from 1 species
CUACGUGCCAGCAGCCGCGGUAAUACGUAGGUGGCGAGCGUUGUCCGGAAUCAUUGGGCGUAAAGGGAGCGCAGGCGGGCCGGUAAGUCUUACUUAAAAGUGCGGGGCUCAACCCCGUGAUGGGAGAGAAACUAUCGGUCUUGAGUACAGGAGAGGAAAGCGGAAUUCCCAGUGUAGCGGUGAAAUGCGUAGAUAUUGGGAAGAACACCAGUGGCGAAGGCGGCUUUCUGGACUGCAACUGACGCUGAGGCUCGAAAGCCAGGGGAGCGAACGGGAUUAGAUACCCCGGUAGUCCUGGCCGUAAACGAUGGAUACUAGGUGUGGGAGGUAUCGACCCCUACCGUGCCGGAGUUAACGCAAUAAGUACUCCGCCUGGGGAGUACGACCGCAAGGUUGAAACUCAAAGGAAUUGACGGGGGCCCGCACAAGCGGUGGAGUAUGUGGUUUAAUUCGACGCAACGCGAAGAACCUUACCAGGUCUUAACAU